UGGGGAAUAUUGCACAAUGGGCGCAAGCCUGACGCAGCCAUGCCGCGUGUAUGAAGAAGGCCUUCGGGUUGUAAAGUACUUUCAGCGAGGAGGAAGGCGUUGUGGUUAAUAACCGCAACGAUUGACGUUACUCGCAGAAGAAGCACCGGCUAACUCCGUGCCAGCAGCCGCGGUAAUACGGAGGGUGCAAGCGUUAAUCGGAAUUACUGGGCGUAAAGCGCACGCAGGCGGUCUGUCAAGUCGGAUGUGAAAUCCCCGGGCUCAACCUGGGAACUGCAUCCGAAACUGGCAGGCUAGAGUCUUGUAGAGGGGGGUAGAAUUCCAGGUGUAGCGGUGAAAUGCGUAGAGAUCUGGAGGAAUACCGGUGGCGAAGGCGGCCCCCUGGACAAAGACUGACGCUCAGGUGCGAAAGCGUGGGGAGCAAACA
rnacentral:rRNA from 1 species